rnacentral:rRNA from 1 species
UACAGAGGUCUCAAGCGUUGUUCGGAUUCAUUGGGCGUAAAGGGUGCGUAGGCGGCGCGGUAAGUCGGGUGUGAAAUCUCGGGGCUUAACUCCGAAACUGCAUUUGAUACUGCGGUGCUUGAGGACUGGAGAGGAGACUGGAAUUUACGGUGUAGCAGUGAAAUGCGUAGAGAUCGUAAGGAAGACCAGUGGCGAAGGCGGGUCUCUGGACAGUUCCUGACGCUGAGGCACGAAGGCCAGGGGAGCAAACGGG